rnacentral:lncRNA from 10 species
CGCCGGGCCGCCCCGACCCCGCCAGCCAUUGGCCGGCCCCGCGGGCCCCGCGCCCCGCGCCCCGCGCCCCACCAGUGGCCCGCGCGACUGUCACUUAGGGGCGCCGCCACGCAGCCUGCGGAGCGUUCGGGAGGCUGGCCCGGCUCAUCGGUGUCACGGCGAGGUCCGGAGCGGAGCCGCGGUCUCGGGUCCCAGCUCUGGGCGCCGGCCUGCUCCCCGCCGCCCCGCUGCCACAUCUGGCUGAGAUCCUCCCGGCGCGUGCAGGGACCGCUCCGGCGGCCAACAAAGGCCCGGGCGAGCCCUCGGCCUGCGCCUCGGCGCGCGACCCGACCACCCGGGGCUGCCCCAGCUCCCAGGCGCCUGCCUGCCUCGACCCGGCCCCUUCCCAGCGGCGCGCCCCGCUCCGGGCCGCCCAAACUGGGCGGCCUCCCCGGGGACAGGUCCCGGGCCCAGCCCCACAGGAGCUCCCGAGGCCCCGCGGACGGUCGCGACAGCCCCAACUUCCCGGAAAGAAGACCAAGAUGUAAGCACACCUGAGCAGAUCCUUUUCCAAGUAUCCUGAUGUCUCCAAGGGCUGUUCAGAUUCCAAAGAGAACUAUCUACAAGUUAAUCUCUGUUACUGGAGUCAUUCAUUCUCCGUAGUAAUCUGCUCCACAGAAUUCCUCUUCUCUUCCCUCCCAUAACCUGUUUUACCAGGAUCCAAGCCUCCAUUCUUUCUGUAACCUCAUUGGGAAGUUGGUUCUUCAUUUGGAAGGCUCCCAUGUGUACAUGUUAAAUAAAUAUCUAUGCCUUUUCUUCUGUUAAUCAGUCUGCUUCAGUCAGUGAUUUUUAGUGAAACUUUAGGGG